rnacentral:rRNA from 1 species
AUGUCGUCGUCUUCGUCGACCGUGGUCUAUGAGGGGUGGAUGGUCCGGCAUGGCCGCCGCAAGAUCGGCCGCUCCUUCAUCCACAUGCGCUACUUUGUGCUGGAGACCCGGCUGCUGUCGUAUUUCAAGCGCAAGCCUCAGCACAAGAUGCCCAAGCUCCCCAUCAAGUCCCUCCACAUCGAUGGCAACUGCAGGGUCGAGGACAGGGGCCUCAAGAUGCACCAUGGCCAUAUGCUUUAUGUCUUAAGUGUCUACAACAAAAGGGAGAAGCACCACCGCAUCACGAUGGCGGCAUUCAAUAUCCAGGAGGCUCUAAUCUGGAAGGAGAAAAUUGAGAUGGUCAUCGAUCAGCAACAAGGUGUAGUGUCGCCCGAUGGUAAUACAGCCUUUAGCUCAUCGCAGCAAAAUGCUGGUGUAGAAAAUGGAAGGAAAUCUUCUUCCUCUGAUCGUGACAGUCAGUAUAGUCAUGAAGAGGAAGAAGAGGAGGAGGACAAUCACCGAUCAUUGAUGCGGAGAACAACAAUUGGGAAUGGUCCUCCGGAAUCAUUGCAUGAUUGGACUCGUGGAAAUGAUACGGGAAUAUCUGAUCAGGGAAGCCCUGCCCAAGUUUUCUCUAGAGGACACUGGCGACUUGUCAGAUGCCAGAAUGGUCUCCGCAUUUUUGAGGAGCUCCAAGAUGUUGAUUACCUUGCAAGGAGCUGUAGCAGAGCAAUGAAGGCUGUUGGAGUUGUUGAAGCUUCGUGUGAAGCUAUAUUUCAGCUUGUGAUGAGCAUGGACACCACCCGCUUUGAGUGGGACUGCAGCUUCCAGUAUGGCAGUCUAGUGGAGGAGGUCGACGGCCACACAGCAAUACUGUACCAUAGGCUACAACUGGAUUGGUUUUCAGCAUUUACUUGGCCUCGUGAUCUUUGUUAUGUACGAUAUUGGCGGCGUAAUGACGAUGGAAGUUAUGUUGUGCUAUUUCAAUCCAGAGAGCACCCAAACUGUGGUCCACAACCAGGAUUUGUGAGGGCGCACAUUGAGAGUGGCGGUUUCAACAUUUCUCCACUGAAAUCCCGUAACGGGAGAGUCCGAACACAAGUACAGCAUCUUAUGCAGAUUGAUUUGAAGGGUUGGGGGGUUGGCUACUUACCUUCAUUUCAACAACAUAGCCUCCUUCAUAUGUUGAACAGCGUUGCCGGGCUUAGGGAAUGGUUUUCACAAAGUGAUGAAAGCCAAAUACUUCCUAGGAUUCCUGUUAUGGACAAUAUGGCCCUAUCGGUUUCUUCUAAGAAAGGCAAAAAAACGCAGGAUAGUACUGUGCAAACCAGCCUUCCGGCGGAUGAAAGUAGACAUUCAACGGUUGAGGAGGAGUCUGACGAAGAUGAAGAAUUCCUGUUACCUGAAUCUGAGCUAGAGCCAUCAACUCGUGAGCUCGAUGCAGAUGGUAAACUACUAGGGCUGGAUGAGGAAGAUUCAGGUGAGAUCGAUUUUUCUGGAUUUUCUGGAAAUUUACGCCGGGAUGACCGUGAUAACAGUCGUGAUUGUUGGAGAAUAUCUGAUGGAAAUAACUUCAGAGUGCGAAGCAAGAACUUCAUAUAUGAUAAAAGCAAGGUUCCUGCUGGAAAACCUCUUAUGGAGCUUGUUGCUGUUGACUGGUUUAAAGAUGUGAAACGAAUGGAUCAUGUUGCUAAAAGAAAAGGAUGCGCUGUUCAAGUUGCUGCUGAGAAGGGUCUUUUUUCGUUGGCAAUAAAUCUACAAGUUCCUGGCACAACUAACUAUAGUAUGGUUUUCUACUUUGUAUCAAAGAAACUGAUACCGAACUCCUUGUUGCAACGCUUUGUUGAUGGCGAUGAUGAAUUCCGCAAUAGUAGGUUCAAGCUGAUCCCAUCUGUACCGAAGGGCUCAUGGAUUGUCCGCCAAAGUGUUGGCAGCACACCGUGUCUGCUAGGCAAAGCAGUUGACAUCACCUAUAUCCGUGGUGCAAAUUAUUUGGAAAUAGACGUGGACAUUGGUUCGUCUACGGUGGCAAAUGGAGUCUUGGGGCUUGUGUGUGGCGUGAUCACAACGCUAGUUGUCGACAUGGCUUUUCUUGUCCAGGGCCACACAUACGAGGAGCUCCCGGAACGACUGAUCGGUGCGGUUCGAAUGUCGCACAUAGAACUAUCAUCUGCGGUUGUUCCUGUGCUUGAGGAUUAA